UCUGAGCAGGAUCACCUGGCUCACGGGUCGAUAGCAACGCAGCUGCAGCUGCGUGAUAAUUGCGGAAUUGCAGGACACAUUGAGCACCGAGCGCUGAACGCGCAUGGCGGCCUCUCUUGUCUUCCUGACUGGAGGUCUCGCCUUUUGAGGGUCUUAUCUUACCUAUGCCUUGUUAUUUGGGCCCAUUGGCCAAGUCGUCUACCUUACCGGCUCAAGGUGAAAGGAAUUCUUCCGGAGCCGUCUGACCUGUCUGCGCGUCUGGUGUCCGGGGAGCUCUCUUUCCCAUGCAGGGCCACUCCGUCUGUCCGAUCGCUCCCUUGAGACGUCCUUAAGAAUCGGGAGGAGGCACCUUAAGAACUUUGAAAAUUUUUUUGCAACGACUGAGACAGAUCAGACUACCCUGCCGAAUUUAAGCUAUAUUAUCAAGGAAGGAAAGAAAACAAUCAGAUUCCACUAGCAGCAUGAGAACAGAGAUCACCCCAGCGCCGAAUGCCUGCCUGUGCAGGGAAAUGUAUGUCAGCGAGUCGGCUAUGGGCCCAGUGUGAGCGGGAAGUCCCCACGAUCGGGGCAGCCUUCCCAGGAGGGUGUGAGGCCCGUUUUCGCUCAUCGUGGUUCCUCUUCACUCACCUAUGCACACAGGGUUGCUUGGAAGUGCAGCCCAAGACAGCCAGGCAAACACCCAAAGCCAACAAGACCUUAGACCAAUAGCAAACAAAUACCGUGAGGGAAAAGUUGAAAGAACUUCAGAGAGAUUUUAAUAAACGUGAAACUGCUCAGAGAU